rnacentral:rRNA from 1 species
CCGCACGGGGAGGUAGUGACGAAAAAUAACGAGACAGUCCACUUUGUGGACUGUCAUCGGAAUGGGUACAAUUUAAAUCUUUUAACGAGGAUCUAUUGGAGGGCAAGUCUGGUGCCAGCAGCCGCGUAAUUCCAGCUCCAAUAGCGUAUAUUAAAGUUGUUGUGGUUAAAACGCCCGUAGUUGGAUCUUCGGCCUUGAAGGACGGUUCCCCGAAAGGGUGUUUACUGUCUCUUCUAGCCUAAAGUUUAGUACGCCUCUGAUGCUCUUUAUCGAGUGUCUUUGGCUGCUAGAACGUUUACUUUGAAAAAAUUAGAGUGCUAAAAGCAGGCAUAUGCUUGAAUAAAGUGCAUGGAAUAAUGGAAUAGGACUUCAGUUCUAUUUUGUUGGUUUUCGAAUUGAAGUAAUGAUUAAGAGGAACAGACGGGGGCAUUCGUAUUGUUGCGUUAGAGGUGAAAUUCUUGGAUCGCAGCAAGACGAACAACUGCGAAAGCAUUUGCCAAGAAUGUUUUCAUUAAUCAAGGAC